rnacentral:rRNA from 1 species
UACGUAGGGGGCAAGCGUUGUCCGGAUUUAUUGGGCGUAAAGAGCGUGUAGGCGGCUUUGCUAGUCCGUUGUGAAAACUCGAGGCUCAACCUCGAGACGCCGGUGGAAACUGCAAAGCUAGAGUCCGGAAGAGGAGAGUGGAAUUCCUGGUGUAGCGGUGAAAUGCGCAGAUAUCAGGAAGAACACCCGUGGCGAAGGCGGCUCUCUGGGACGGUACUGACGCUUAGACGCGAAAGCGUGUGGAGCGAACAGG